GAACGCACCUUGCACCCUUUGGUAUUCCGAAGGGUAUGCUCGUUUGAGUGUCAUUGUAUUCUCACACUCCCGAUCUUUGGGUUGGGAGCGGUGGACUUGGGUUUGCUGCUUCACCGUGGCUCACCUCAAAUAUGUUAGUGCAGCUCUUGGUUGGACAUAGUACGGCGUGAUAAGUGUUUUUCGCCGGUGCCUCGCAAAGAGGGUGGCCGAUCGGGAUGUUGUGCUCCAAACCGUCUUCGGACAAUCUCUGACGACUUGACCUCAAAUCGAGUAAGACUACCCGCUGAACUUA
rnacentral:misc_RNA from 1 species